GCACGUUCAAUAAAGCUGCCAUUAUUCCAUGGAGCUUGAGUCCCAGCCAUUUACAAUGAUGCCCCUUAAGGUCACCAGGCUGGCGCGGCAGGUGCCCUUCCACCUACCCAUCAUCUCUCAGGCCCUGUGAAUUGCAGAUUUUAACACCCUGUUUAGAGAGACUUCCAAGAGGGUCACAAAAUGCUGCCUCUUUCAGGGUACUUAAAAUCAUUUAGAAAGAAAAUAUCAGAAAAUUGCCUGGAGAGCUUGCUAAAAAAAUGCAAAUGCCGGAACAUCAUCUCAGCAGCUCCCAGAUAAGUAGAGAAUCAGCCCGACAACCCAACUCCCUGGGCCUUUUGAUGCAGACUGCUCAGUGCUCAGCAGAGGAACCCUGAUUAAUAUGCAGCGUGACUUCGGCACACAAGAGCUUUUCAAAGGCACUGACAUUUAAGAGGCGUACAGCAGUAAACAACUCUAUAUUCUGCCGUCCCCAGACACCAUCACUGUCAUCAUCAGCCGGAGUGACAUGGUUUACCAUUCACCACUCACGCCGAGCGCUUCAUUGAUAUGCUGAACACACACCGGAAGAGGGGCUUCGUUGUGUUUCUGCUUUGAUCAACUGAGAAUAAAAAUCUGUAACUCUCCAGCCACCCCAAGCCUCUCCCGAAGGCCUUGGAGGCUCGGUAUGUACAAACACACCUAAACAGAUCCGACAGAAGUCAUUAAAGGAUAGCUCCGGAAGGUUUCUUUCUUAUGCUUUGAACUCUGAACCCAGGAAUUUCUAAGAAGGCAAAGGUUAUUAUUCUUGUGGGCUGAAGAGAUGGCUCUGCCCUUAUGAGUACUUGCUUCUGUUUCAAAGGACUGGGGUUCCAUUCCCUGUACCCACAUGGAGGAUUGUACCUCACAGUCACCUACAACUCACUGUACCACGUCAUCUUCUUCUUCCCUUCAUGUCUGAUGACUCAUGGAACAAGACUUAUUCUCUACUACUGAACCCAGAGGAAAGUAUAUCUUCUCCUCUCUGUGCAUAGGAUAUCUGUGGCUCGAUACAGCCUGUUGUUCUAGAAAGUUCCAUUGCCUGAUCCAAGGUCAACGAUGCAGGGCUUCACCCUGCAGCCAAGGAUGCGGUCACCGCCGGCGUACCCCACAAGGUGGUACUGCGCAGUGUGUGCUUCUUGGUGCAAAGAGGGAUGAUGAUGGUCAGGGAUGUCUGUGUUACGGGGACAUCACCCUAGACGGCACUGCUUGUUUGGAACUGUGGCCCGCAGGUCAAGGGACCACCUCCAGAGCCUCGCUGCCCCGGACCUCAGACUUCUGACCAUGCUCCCUUUGUCUGGCACUGUAAUGUUCCCUCCGGCUCUUCUGCCUGGGCCUGCAGGUUCUGACUGCCUUGGCCCUGGCCCUGACCCCUGCCAGGCCUCUCUCAGGCUUCCUCCCCUGCAGGGGACAGCUUGGUGUGGGUCUCCUUCACGAUCGGAGCCCUCCUGCGCCCCUGCCCUGCAGGCCCUGGGUGCUGCUGUCCUCUGUGGGUGAACCUCUCUUUGCCACUUCACUUUGACCUGGGAGCAGUUAGUCUGGGGUGCAGCUAUUUGGGGACUCAGGCAUUCCUUCCAGUCUCACAGCUGUGGCCUCCACCAUAGGCUGCCCAGUACCGCUGCCAGCUACCUCAAUAUCCAUCGCUCUUCGCCUCCUUCCUCCUGUGGCCCAGACCGAGCCAACAUCACCAAGGUCCCCGGAGGCACUCUCUACUCACAUUAACAUUUUAUGGGACUUACCAAUGCCAUGUAUUGUCCAAUCCUUUUCACCGUGGCUUGGCAUGAGUCAGGAUUCUCUAAAGGAGCAGAGCUGAUAGAAUCUGGCUUGUGGAGGCCUGAAGGAUCCCCGGGCAGCUGCUGGUCUUCACUCUACACUGGAAUCCAGAAGAUAGACGUUGAUUCUAAUGCUGACAAAGGAAUGUCUCAGUGACAGUAUAGAUGAAUUCACCAGCAAGAGUGUGGGCAAGCAGGCCAAAAACAGCCGUUUUUAUGUGGGUUGCCACCAGAGUGUGUCACCUAGAUGGAGGGUUCAUCUUACUUCACAUAAUCUGAGCAAAGAAAUCUCUCCCAGGAAUACACAGUGGCUUGCAUUUUAUCCAGAUGCAAUCAUGUUAACUCAGAUUAGUCGUGCCUGGGCUGGAGAGCUGGCUCAGUCACUAAAAAUGAGCCCACAUCAAAAUAUCAAGAUUAACCAUCACAAGCAAUAGACCAUCUUUUCCAUUUUCCA